GUAUGUUCGGUCGGGGUCGAAUAAUGACGUCAUAGUUGGUAUGGGCUUCAAUACCCACCGGCCGCCAUCUUGUUAAAAUUUUGUAUGCGAAUAUUUUAUCGAAACCCGAGAUUGGUAUUUUGUAUCGGAUAGUUGGAAUCAUAAGUUCUAAUUUGGGUUGGCCAACCGUCUUGUCUUGGGCAACUAGUAAAUAGUAGCUUUUAAACCAUAGAGUCACCAUAGAAUGUAGAAAAUAACUUUUUUUUUUAAUUGUGACGCUGAAGUCUUCUUGUUCUUAUGAUCUUGAACAAAAUAAUAUUUCUUUGAUGUUUGUUUUGUGAAUCUUGCAAAUUUUUGGUCUUCAAUAAUUAGUAAAUAGGGACUCUGGUUAUGCUCUACGGCCAUGGAUGUUAACACCUAUCCUCAAUGCAGCUGUAGGAUCCCCAGAAGAACACUACACUGAUCUACACUGCCGUGUCAGAAAUACUGUGGAGCGGUGCAUUGGGGCCCUUAAAACACGCUGGAGAUGUUUGCUGGCACACCGUGUGCUUCACUAUGAGCCCACCAAAGCUGCGAAAAUAGUAAAUGACUUCUGUGUACUACACAAUAUAGCAAAUGCACACAAUAUACCAGUGACGACAACUUGCCUGCUGCUGGUAACAUUCGGGUGCAGCAUAUUGGUAACGUGGCUUAUGGUGCUGCUGAUGCAGAUGCAGGGCGCAUGAGGGCCAACC